AUUGAACGCUGGCGGAAUGCUUUACACAUGCAAGUCGAACGGUAGAGGGGGCAACCCCUCGAGAGUGGCGAACGGGUGAGUAAUAUAUCGGAACGUGCCCAGUCGUGGGGGAUAACGUAGCGAAAGUUACGCUAAUACCGCAUACGAUCUAAGGAUGAAAGCGGGGGAUCGCAAGACCUCGCGCGAUUGGAGCGGCCGAUAUCAGAUUAGGUAGUUGGUGGGGUAAAGGCUCACCAAGCCAACGAUCUGUAGCUGGUCUGAGAGGACGACCAGCCACACUGGAACUGAGACACGGUCCAGACUCCUACGGGAGGCAGCAGUGGGGAAUUUUGGACAAUGGACGCAAGUCUGAUCCAGCCAUUCCGCGUGCAGGAUGAAGGCCCUCGGGUUGUAAACUGCUUUUGUACGGAACGUAAAGGUCUUUCUUAAUACGGGGGGCUCAUGACGGUACCGUAAGAAUAAGCACCGGCUAACUACGUGCCAGCCGCCGCAGUAA
rnacentral:rRNA from 1 species